GUUUACGGCCACGCCACCCCGAACGUGCCCGAUCUCGUUUGAUCUCGGAAGCUAAGCAGGGCCUUGCCUGGUUAGUACUUGGAUGGGAUUCCACCUCGGAAUACCAAGGGCUGUAGGCG
ensembl:rRNA 5S_rRNA 5S ribosomal RNA